rnacentral:rRNA from 1 species
AUUGAACGCUGGCGGCAUGCUUUACACAUGCAAGUCGAGCGGCAGCGCGGGGGCAACCCUGGCGGCGAGCGGCGAACGGGUGAGUAAUGCAUCGGAACGUAUCCCGGAGUGGGGGAUAACCUAUCGAAAGGUGGGCUAAUACCGCAUGAGCUCUGAGGAGGAAAGCGGGGGACCGAAAGGGCCUCGCGCUGUGGGAGCGGCCGAUGUCCGAUUAGCUAGUUGGUGGGGUAAAGGCCUACCAAGGCGACGAUCGGUAGCUGGUCUGAGAGGAUGAUCAGCCACACUGGGACUGAGACACGGCCCAGACUCCUACGGGAGGCAGCAGUGGGGAAUUUUGGACAAUGGGGGCAACCCUGAUCCAGCCAUGCCGCGUGAGUG